CUGAACCUCCCCCCCUCUUCCCCAGACCACAUCAACCACGUGAGAAAGAUCGCGGGAAUCAAGCAUGUGGGCAUCGGUGCGGACUUCGAUGGUGUCAACAAGCUCCCGGAGAAUUUGGAAGAUGUCUCGAAGUAUCCGCACCUGUUCGCCGAGCUCUUGUCCGACCCGACGUGGACGAUGGAGGACCUGAAGAAGCUGGCGGGGCAGAAUCUCUUACGGGUCAUGAGGGACGUCGAGAAGGUCCGCCUCGAGAUGAAGCAGCAGCGAGUGCCACCUUUCGAGCAGGAGGUGCCAGCAUCGCAACUCGUGGGCCUCACCAACUGCUCGUACCAAUUCAUCAAGUCAUCAGACGAUUCCUAGUGAUUGCAUUCUUAGUCUCUGUUUGUUGUCGUGUGAAUGAAGAGAGUGUAGAUAAUGUUAUGUGAGCUUAGGAGACGAAAUAAAAAAGAAAAAAAAAACUAAACAGACCAAAUCCAUUUCGUUAUUUGUCACGUGGGGUUCAUAGAUUAAAAGAACAAGAUGCUUUGUGUAAUGUGUAUGAUAAAGAAUGACUAUCAUUGAUAUAGAUUAGAUAUAAAUAUAUAUAUAUAUAUUAAAAUAAAUCGUUACGCACAAUCAUAUAAUUUUAUAUGACUUUGUUUACUGUGGCUGAUGUCUAUGAGUGUUAUCUGUACGUGAGAAUUUAGCUUCAAUUACGUUUAGAUACAGAAUGACUGUACUGAAAUACGCUAGGAAUUCAAAGUUCACCACAUGCUUGUUCUGUAGGGAGUAAUUUAAGACUGUAACGAUAAUAAUGAAAAAUUCAUAGUAAUACUUAAGGGGCCACUUGACACGAAAUACCAACUUUUUUAGAAGGGAUCAUUAGGUAAAGUUUAUGUCUGAAAUUUUAGCCUUAUUAUUCUAAGGACUGAGGUAGGCGGAUAAUGAUCAUAAAUAAAUAAAUAAUCAUAUAAAUAAAGAUUUAAAAUAUAGGGCAAAGUGGCCUAGAUAAAAAGCUUUUCUUAUAGGCUAACAAUCCCCCCCCCACCCCCCUCUAUUUUCUUGGUGAAUCUACAAGGCUAAUUAUAUUAAAACCCUUCCUAUGCGCACGGUGAUUCAUGAAUAAGAAUGCGAUAUAAAAUGCAUGACGGGAUGCAUGACGGGACGAUAUCAGAUAUCAGACAGACUCUCUUUUAUAAAUCUGAAGGUGAUAACUGACUCUAAAUAACAUCACUGAAAUAUUUAGCAGGAAAUCCAAGCAUAAAGAUUUUUAAAAAUUAUACUAAAAUCUUUUUUUUUUUUUUUUUUUUUUUUUUAACAAGUUGAGUUUUAAUAGUUAAAUUACAAAUUUGAUGUGC